rnacentral:lncRNA from 1 species
CCCAGGACCAGAUGCAAUCAUGGUAAGUAGCUCUCAUUGUCCUGAUUUGGGUCUGUAAAUUAGUCUAAAGAACUGGUUUAAAUGUUUUUUCCUUUUUUUUUAAUCAGGACACCUUUGACAAAUAUGAGAUUGCACACAUGGGUAAACUAUUUCUGAAGAUAUGUGGACUUCCUACUGCUUCCGGACCAUGGAUUCCAGCAUGAAGCAUAUUCUUUUCUAACGUAGAAAUUUUUAACCUGGGACCCAUGGACCUUCCAUAAAUGGAAUUCAGGGAAUCCAUGAGUUUGAAGGGUUUAAAGCAUUAUCUGAGAAGGGGUCCUAAGGAUUUACCAGAUUACCAAAGGGGCCCCUGGUACCAACAAGGGCUCUAUUGAUGCCAAGGUCACCCAGACUCCAGGACAUCUGGUCAAAGGCAAAGGACAGAAACAAGGAUGGAUUGUAUUCCCA